AUUCUGUUUCUUCAUGUCUUUAUGAAACCUUCAGUUCCACGAUACCUUCUGGACGUAAACAAUGACAGUCCUUUUUGUCCUCAUUCCCUGGAUCCUCCUCUCUUUGGAGACAGCAAGGACACUUUUCUUGGGAUGUUCUUCAGAUGAGAAUACACUAAUCUGCAGUGUAUUUUUGGCCAUGCACUGAGGCCAAAAAGAUCAGUCUUGGUCUCUUCACACAGUGCAGUCUUCCUUAUUCAUGUGAGUUGUGUUCAAAUUUGAGUCUCUUUGUUGCCGCUUUAACAACCGCACUCCUCAAAUAGAUGUUCUGUUUUGGA
rnacentral:lncRNA from 1 species